rnacentral:rRNA from 1 species
GAUAAACGCUGGCGGCGUGCCUAAUACAUGCAAGUCGUGCGGAAAGGUUUUGCACUUUUUUGCUUCUUUUUUUAAGGAGCAAAGUGUGCAGAAUACUCGAGCGGCGGACGGCAGAGUAACGCGUAGGAAUGUACCCCAAAGUGAGGGAUAAGCACCGGAAACGGUGUCUAAUACCGCAUAAUAUCUUCGGAUUAAAGCAGUAAUGCGCUUUGGGAACAGCCUGCGUCUGAUUAGCUUGUUGGUGAGGUAAUGGCUCACCAAGGCUACGAUCGGUAGCUGGUCUGAGAGGAUGAUCAGCCUGACUGGAACUGAGACACGGUCCAGACUCCUACGGGAGGCAGCAGUAGGGUAAUUUUCCACAAUGGCGCAAGCUGAUGGAGCAACGCCGCGUGCAGGAUGAAGGUC